rnacentral:snoRNA from 1 species
UCUCAGUGAUGUAAUUCCAGUAGAUCCUUCUUACCUUCUACUGUGGACUCAACAGCAGGGAGAUGAAGAGGAAAAUGACUGAGAGA